GUAAGCUACUAAGAGCGAAUGGUGGAUGCCUUGACUGGUAAAGGCGAUGAAGGACGUACUAGACUGCGAUAAGCUACGGGGAGCUGUCAAGAAGCUUUGAUCCGUAGAUUUCCGAAUGGGGCAACCCAAUGUAUAGAGAUAUACAUUACCUAUAUAGGAGCGAACGAGGGGAAUUGAAACAUCUUAGUACCCUCAGGAAAAGAAAUCAAUAGAGAUUGCGUCAGUAGCGGCGAGCGAAAGCGCAAGAGGGCAAACCCAGUGCUUGCACUGGGGGUUGUAGGACUGCAAUGUGCAAGAGCUGAGUUUAGCAGAACAUUCUGGAAAGUAUAGCCAUAGAGGGUGAUAGUCCCGUAUGCGAAAAACAAAGCUUAGCUAGCAGUAUCCUGAGUAGGGCGGGACACGAGGAAUCCUGUCUGAAUCCGGGUCGACCACGAUCCAACCCUAAAUACUAAUACCAGAUCGAUAGUGCACAAGUACCGUGAGGGAAAGGUGAAAAGAACUGAGGUGAUCAGAGUGAAAUAGAACCUGAAACCAUUUGCUUACAAUCAUUCAGAGCACUAUGUAGCAAUACAGUGUGAUGGACUGCCUUUUGCAUAAUGAGCCUGCGAGUUGUGGUGUCUGGCAAGGUUAAGCAAACGCGAAGCCGUAGCGAAAGCGAGUCUGAAUAGGGCGCUUAGUCAGAUGCUGCAGACCCGAAACGAAGUGAUCUAUCCAUGAGCAAGUUGAAGCUAGUGUAAGAACUAGUGGAGGACUGAACCCAUAGGCGUUGAAAAGCCCCGGGAUGACUUGUGGAUAGGGGUGAAAGGCCAAUCAAACUUCGUGAUAGCUGGUUCUCUCCGAAAUAUAUUUAGGUAUAGCGUUGUGUCGUAAUAUAAGGGGGUAGAGCACUGAAUGGGCUAGGGCAUACACCAAUGUACCAAACCCUAUCAAACUCCGAAUACCUUAUAUGUAAUCACAGCAGUCAGGCGGCGAGUGAUAAAAUCCGUCGUCAAGAGGGAAACAACCCAGACUACCAGCUAAGGUCCCUAAAUCUUACUUAAGUGGAAAACGAUGUGAAGUUACUUAAACAACCAGGAGGUUGGCUUAGAAGCAGCCAUCCUUUAAAGAAAGCGUAAUAGCUCACUGGUCUAGUGAUUUUGCGCGGAAAAUAUAACGGGGCUAAAGUAAGUACCGAAGCUGUAGACUUGCACACAACUUAGAUUAUUUAAGUUUAGAAUAUGAGAAACUAAGUUAUGUUUAGUUAUAUUUUUACUGAUUUUUAUAGAGUAAAGAUAGAAAUAAAACUUAGUAAAAUCAGUAAAAAUAUUCUUAGGCUAAAGUUAAGUAGUUUAAGUUGUGUGUAAGUGGUAGGAGAGCGUUCUAUUUGCGUCGAAGGUAUACCGGUAAGGAGUGCUGGAGCGAAUAGAAGUGAGCAUGCAGGCAUGAGUAGCGAUAAUUAAUGUGAGAAUCAUUAACGCCGUAAACCCAAGGUUUCCUACGCGAUGCUCGUCAUCGUAGGGUUAGUCGGGUCCUAAGUCGAGUCCGAAAGGGGUAGACGAUGGCAAAUUGGUUAAUAUUCCAAUACCAACAUUAGUGUGCGAUGGAAGGACGCUUAGGGCUAAGGGGGCUAGCGGAUGGAAGUGCUAGUCUAAGGUCGUAGGAGGUUAUACAGGCAAAUCCGUAUAACAAUACUCCGAGAACUGAAAGGCUUUUUGAAGUCUUCGGAUGGAUAGAAGAACCCCUGAUGCCGUCGAGCCAAGAAAAGUUUCUAAGUUUAGCUAAUGUUGCCCGUACCGUAAACCGACACAGGUGGGUGGGAUGAGUAUUCUAAGGCGCGUGGAAGAACUCUCUUUAAGGAACUCUGCAAAAUAGCACCGUAUCUUCGGUAUAAGGUGUGGUUAGCUUCGUACUAGGAUUUACUCCGAAAGCGAAGAAACUUACAACAAAGAGUCCCUCCCGACUGUUUACCAAAAACACAGCACUCUGCUAACUCGUAAGAGGAUGUAUAGGGUGUGACGCCUGCCCGGUGCUCGAAGGUUAAUUGAUGGGGUUAGCAUUAGUGAAGCUCUUGAUCGAAGCCCGAGUAAACGGCGGCCGUAACUAUAACGGUCCUAAGGUAGCGAAAUUCCUUGUCGGUUAAAUACCGACCUGCAUGAAUGGCGUAACGAGAUGGGAGCUGUCUCAAAGAGGGAUCCAGUGAAAUUGUAGUGGAGGUGAAAAUUCCUCCUACCCGCGGCAAGACGGAAAGACCCCGUGGACCUUUACUACAGCUUGACACUGCUACUUGGAUAAGAAUGUGCAGGAUAGGUGGGAGGCUUUGAGUAUAUGACGCCAGUUGUAUAUGAGCCAUUGUUGAGAUACCACUCUUUCUUAUUUGGGUAGCUAACCAGCUUGAGUUAUCCUCAAGUGGGACAAUGUCUGGUGGGUAGUUUGACUGGGGCGGUCGCCUCCCAAAUAAUAACGGAGGCUUACAAAGGUUGGCUCAGAACGGUUGGAAAUCGUUCGUAGAGUAUAAAGGUAUAAGCCAGCUUAACUGCAAGACAUACAAGUCAAGCAGAGACGAAAGUCGGUCUUAGUGAUCCGGUGGUUCUGUGUGGAAGGGCCAUCGCUCAAAGGAUAAAAGGUACCCCGGGGAUAACAGGCUGAUCUCCCCCAAGAGCUCACAUCGACGGGGAGGUUUGGCACCUCGAUGUCGGCUCAUCGCAUCCUGGGGCUGGAGCAGGUCCCAAGGGUAUGGCUGUUCGCCAUUUAAAGCGGUACGCGAGCUGGGUUCAGAACGUCGUGAGACAGUUCGGUCCCUAUCUGCCGUGGGCGUAAGAAGAUUGAAGAGAUUUGACCCUAGUACGAGAGGACCGGGUUGAACAAACCACUGGUGUAGCUGUUGUUCUGCCAAGAGCAUCGCAGCGUAGCUAAGUUUGGAAAGGAUAAACGCUGAAAGCAUCUAAGCGUGAAGCCAACUCUAAGAUGAAUCUUCUCUAAGCUCUCUAGAAGACUACUAGUUUGAUAGGCUGGGUGUGUAAUGGAUGAAAGUCCUUUAGCUGACCAGUACUAAUAGAGCGUUUGGCUUAUCUUUAAUAAAGCAU
rnacentral:rRNA from 1 species